UGGGGAAUUUUGGACAAUGGCGAAGCAUGCUCAGCAAAUGCCGCGUGUGUGAAGAAGGCCUUCGGGUUGUAAAGCACUUUUGUCCGGAAAGAAAUCCUUGGCUCUAAUACAGUCGGGGGAUGACGGUACCGGAAGAAUAAGCACCGGCUAACUACGUGCCAGCAGCCGCGGUAAUACGUAGGGUGCAAGCGUUAAUCGGAAUUACUGGGCGUAAAGCGUGCGCAGGCGGUUUGCUAAGACCGAUGUGAAAUCCCCGGGCUCAACCUGGGAACUGCAUUGGUGACUGGCAGGCUAGAGUAUGGCAGAGGGGGGUAGAAUUCCACGUGUAGCAGUGAAAUGCGUAGAGAUGUGGAGGAAUACCGAUGGCGAAGGCAGCCCCCUGGGCCAAUACUGACGCUCAUGCACGAAAGCGUGGGGAGCAAACAGGAUUAGAUACCCUGGUAGUCCACGCCCUAAACGAUGUCAACUAGUUGUUGGGGAUUCAUUUCCUUAGUAACGUAGCUAACGCGUGAAGUUGACCGCCUGGGGAGUACGGUCGCAAGAUUAAAACUCAAAUGAAUUGACGGGGUCAUAGCUGUUUCCU
rnacentral:rRNA from 1 species